rnacentral:ncRNA from 2 species
CAUUACAAGCGGGGGUACCCGGCGCAUGCCGGGUUGAGAUCAUACCCAAUGAACCUGAUGCGGUCAAUACCGCCGUAGGGAGGCUUAAUCUCAGACGCA